rnacentral:rRNA from 1 species
AGCUCAAAUUUGAAAUCUGGCACUUUCAGUGUCCGAGUUGUAAUUUGAAGAAGGUAUCUUUGGGUCUGGCUCUUGUCUAUGUUUCUUGGAACAGAACGUCACAGAGGGUGAGAAUCCCGUGCGAUGAGAUGUCCCAGACCUAUGUAAAGUUCCUUCGAAGAGUCGAGUUGUUUGGGAAUGCAGCUCUAAGUGGGUGGUAAAUUCCAUCUAAAGCUAAAUAUUGGCGAGAGACCGAUAGCGAACAAGUACAGUGAUGGAAAGAUGAAAAGAACUUUGAAAAGAGAGUGAAAAAGUACGUGAAAUUGUUGAAAGGGAAGGGCUUGAGAUCAGACUUGGUAUUUUGUAUGUUACUCUCUCGGGGGUGGCCUCUACAGUUUACCGGGCCAGCAUCAGUUUGAGCGGUAGGAUAAGUGCAAAGAAAUGUGGCACUGCUUCGGUAGUGUGUUAUAGUCUUUGUCGAUACUGCCAGCUUAGACUGAGGACUGCGGCUUCGGCCUAGGAUGUUGGCAUAAUGAUCUUAA